UACGUAGGUGACAAGCGUUGUCCGGAUUUACUGGGCGUAAAGAGCGCGCAGGCGGUCGAUCAAGUCGAGUGUGAAAGCCCCCGGCUCAACUGGGGAGGGUCAUUCGAAACUGAUCGACUUGAAGGCAGGAGAGGGUAGUGGAAUUCCCGGUGUAGUGGCGAAAUGCGUAGAUAUCGGGAGGAACGCCAGUGGCGAACGCGACUACCUGGCCUGUUCUUGACGCUGAGGCGCGACAGCUAGAGGAGCAAACGGG
rnacentral:rRNA from 1 species